rnacentral:tRNA from 1 species
GCCUGGUUAGCUCAGUUGGUAGUGCGUCUGCCUUGUAAGCGCUAGGCCGCGGGUUCGAUUCCCGCCCGGGGCG